ACGGGUGAGUAACGCGUGGGAACGUGCCUUUCGGUUCGGAAUAACUCAGGGAAACUUGAGCUAAUACCGGAUACGCCCUUCGGGGGAAAGAUUUAUUGCCGAAAGAUCGGCCCGCGUCCGAUUAGCUAGUUGGUGUGGUAAUGGCGCACCAAGGCGACGAUCGGUAGCUGGUCUGAGAGGAUGAUCAGCCACACUGGGACUGAGACACGGCCCAGACUCCUACGGGAGGCAGCAGUGGGGAAUAUUGGACAAUGGGCGCAAGCCUGAUCCAGCCAUGCCGCGUGAGUGAUGAAGGCCCUAGGGUUGUAAAGCUCUUUCGCCAGGGACGAUAAUGACGGUACCUGGAUAAGAAGCCCCGGCUAACUUCGUGCCAGCAGCCGCGGUAAUACGAAGGGGGCUAGCGUUGUUCGGAAUCACUGGGCGUAAAGCGCACGUAGGCGGAUCUUUAAGUCAGGGGUGAAAUCCCGAGGCUCAACCUCGGAACUGCCUUUGAUACUGGAGGUCUCGAGUUCGGGAGAGGUGAGUGGAACUGCGAGU
rnacentral:rRNA from 1 species